rnacentral:rRNA from 1 species
AUUGAACGCUGGCGGCAGGCCUAACACAUGCAAGUCGAACGAGUGGCGGACGGGUGAGUAAUGUCUGGGAAACUGCCUGAUGGAGGGGGAUAACUACUGGAAACUGUAGCUAAUACCGCAUACCAUCAGAUGUGCCCUGAUGGGCUUAGCUUGUUGGUGGGGUAACGGCUCACGAAGGCGCCGAUCCCUAGCUGGUCUGAGAGGAUGACCGGCCACACUGGAACUGAGACACGGUCCAGACUCCUAAGGGAGGCAGCAGUGGGGAAUAUUGUGCAAUGGGCGCAAUCCUGAUGCAGCCAUGCCGCGUGUAUGACGAAGGCCUUCGGGGUGUAAAGUACUUUCAGCGGGGAGGCGUUACCGGCAGAAGAAGAACCGGCUAACUCCGUGCCAGCAGCCGCGGUAAUUC